rnacentral:tRNA from 1 species
GCCUUGUAUAUUUAGAUUGCAAAUCCAAAUACGUCAAUAGUAUGACCGGGGCUU